UAUAAGUAUAUAAAGAAACUAUUAUGGAUAAUUAGCUAUAUAUUAAAGAAGAAAGAUUAAUCUAAUUCUAAAAUAAAUUCAGUAAUAAAGAAAGUGAAUUGAAAUAUCUUAAUAACUUUUAAAAAAAAAAAUCAAACGAGAUUCUAAGUUUAGUGUAAAAUUAAAAUUAGAGAAGCUUACAAGUAAAAUGGAUAAGAUCUGUUUGAAUAAAGGGGAACCUUCCUCUAAAGCUAAAUAUAAUAUAUAAGCGAUAGAGAAAGUACCGUGAGGGAAAAUUUGAAAUAGUAGUUUUAUAAGCAGCUCAAGUAAAAAUUUAAAUAAAAAAAAAAUGAGUGUACCUUUUGUAUAAUGGGUCAGUAAGUUAAUAUUAGAAGCAAGCAAAUUAAAUAAAAAUUUGCCCAGUUAAACCAAUUAUGAGAAAAUGAUAUAGUUUCUAAUUUUAGACCCGAAGACUAGUGAUCUUACUAUGAUCAGGAUUAUAAAAGUCCGAACGGGUUAUCGUGGUAAAGAUAUCCGAAGAAUUGUGGUAAGUUAGUGAAAGACAAAACAGACUAGUAUAGCUGGUUUUCCGCGAAACCUAUGUAAGUAGGUAAUUUAAUUAACAUCUUAGCAGGUACAGAACUGUGAUCUCGAGCAAAAUAAGUUUUAUGCUCACAUCGGGGAAUCGUGAAGAUUUUAUCGGAGAGUAUUUGCACUCGGAAGGGCAAAGAUGAAUGUUAAAUAAUCAGACAUAGUGCGAUAAGGUUGUAUGUCGAAAGGGAAACAGCCCAGAACAAGUGUUAUAAGGUUCCAAAAUUAUUGUUAAGUGAAAUUAAGGAUAUUUUAUCAAAAACAAUCAGGAAAUAGGCUUAGAAGCUGCCAUUUUUUGAAGACCUCGUAAUAGAGCACUGAUUAAAAAAAAUUUUUUUUUAGAUAAAAAUACCUAAAAUUUAACGGAUCUAAACAAUAUACCGAAACCUUGUACGUAUAUAUAUAUAAUAUAAUGUAAUAUAUACGGGGUAGCGGAACAAUGGAUAAAUAUUAGAUUAUAUCUUUUUAAGAUUUAAAAUAAAGAUGAUCCAAGAGAGAAUGCUGACAUGAGUAACGAAAAAGGAAUAAAUUUCCUCGCCUUAAGCUUAUGGUAUUUUAUUUAAAUUUCGGUAUCUAAGUUAUACCCCUAAGGGGAAAUUAAAUAUUUAUAUUUGAGCACGAUGAAAAAGAGAAUAUUGUUAAUAAAACCUUUAUUUAGUGAUAAAGGUUCUGGAAAUUAUAACAAUUAAAUUUAUAUUCUCACUUAAGUAAUUAAGUUAAUAAACCGUACCUAAAUACUAACACAAGUAAGCAAGUAGAGAAUACAAAGGCGUUUGAGUGAACAAUCCUUAAGGAACUCGGCAAAUUGACUACCGUAACUUCGGGAUAAGGAGAGCCAUUAUUCUUGAUAAAUAUAAAAAAAAAUUUUUUUUUUGUAUUAACAUAUCAAGUAAAUAAGAGGAAGCAUAAAAUAAUGUUGUACGACUGUUUAAUAAAAACAAAGCACUCUGCAAAGAAAAAUUAUCAAAGUAUUGAGUGUGAUGUCUGCCCUAUGUCGGCUGGGUAACGGAUUUACUUAAUUUAAAAAGUUAGGUUUUGAAGGAUACCCCGAUUAAUGGCGGCCUUACCUAUAAGGGUCCAAAGGUAGCAAAAUUUCUUGGCCGCUAAAUACGGUCCUGCAUGAAUGAUUUAACGAUACAACAGCUGUCUCGAGGAUUGGCUCAGUGAAAUUGAAAUAGCAGUGAAGAUGCUGCUUACCUCUAGAUAGACGAGAAGACCCUAUGCAGCUUUACUGUUACUAAUUAUGGAUAUAGUAUGAUAAUUUCCAGCGUAUAAGGUAAUUGAAAAAUGUAAAUGAAACACCUUUAUUUGUUCUAUUAUAUUCUUUAUGAUUGGAAGGCAGUUUAUGCGGGGCACAGAUCCCAUAAAAAGUACCUGGGUAUAUCCAAAGUUCAAAUUGUAAAUUUGUAAAUUAUAAUUUACAAAAAUAAUUUAUAAAUAUAUUUAUAAAUUAUUUUUCUUUUAUUUUGUUAUUAAUUAUAAAUAAUUAUCCAGUUAUUAUUGUAUUAAAUACGAUUUAUUUUUUUAAUUUAGGUAAGAUUUUAACUAUAUGGUAAAUAGAUGUAGAUUAAAUAUUAAUCAAUUAAUUGAUUAAUAUUUAAUUAUAUUAAUAAAGAAUAAUUAUCUUUAUUAAUAUGAUAAUUAAAUAUACUUUAAAAGUUUAAUGGCUUAAUCUUGCUUUACUGUUUGACUUACAAGUCUAUCAGUCGCGUAAGCGGGGCAUAUGAUCACAAGAUGCAGAAAGGAAAGGUCUUGGAUUAUAGAAAAAGUUACGCUAGGGAUUACUUGUUAGUCCUCCAAUAUUUUGAAAUAUUGGUAAA
rnacentral:rRNA from 1 species